rnacentral:lncRNA from 1 species
GGACAGUAUUGUAAUUGGUGUUGACAAUGAUAAUAUUAUUUUAUUGUAAAUUUCACAUCCAAAUGACAAAUUGGACGGCUCAGUGAAGUAAUAGACAGUAUGGGUCCCAUCGGCAUGCAACUUUUGACUGAAGAAAAUAAAAAAGAAAAUAAAAAGUAAUGGAAAUGAAUGGGUAGAUAUUAAACCCUUGUUUGGUCCUCAUUUUUUGGGAAUGAAAAUGAAAGGAAUAGUAUUUUUUUUUUAAAAAUGAAUGGUUAAAAAAGAAGGAAAUAUUUUCGAUUUACGUGUAAUAUCUGAAGGUAAUUGGUCUGACCAAUUUCGGCAAGAGAACGUUGAAGAAUUGUGAUUAUAGUAUGAGGGAACUUUACGAUACUAGAAUGAGAAAGAUACAAAUGUCAGUGAUUCGAGUUCGGAAGAGGAUGAAGUUGUGCUUGAAGAUCAAAACGAAGAACCGAUGGGAGAAGAAAAAGUUGAAAGUUUGGUGGAAUCCGAUUAUGAGAUGAAGCAGGAACAGGAACCCAUAACUACUGCUGAAACUAGUAGUCAAAGAAUUCAUUUUGAUUUUGGGUUUGGUUUAGGGGAUGAGCUCCAGGUUAGGGACUCCGAUACCGACUACGGGGACUCCGAUGAUUUACGGAGCAUUCAUAGUGAAGAGGGAGGCGAUACAACUUCAGAAAGUAGGGUCUCCAAUAAUUCUUUCAACGUAGUGAUAGAUAUGGAGGAUCCAGUGUUCACGUUAGGUAACUGAAACAUAUCCUCUACUUCCAUUUACAUCCAUUUUGCACUUUAGUUUAAUGAGAUCUAUAUGCAAUUUUUUUUUUUUGAUUGUGUAGGCUUAGUAUUUGAGUCAAAGUUAGUACUAAAGGCUGCCAUCACCUAAUAUUCAGUUAGAAGCAACAGAGAGAUCAAAUUUAUAAAGGAUGACACUCGCAGAUUGAGGGCCAAGUGUAAGGGAAAUUGUCCAUGGGACUAGUAUGCUACAAGAGAGCAUAAUAAGACAAGUUUUGUGAUCAAGAUGUUUGUCGACAACCAUACUUUCCCUAUAGUGUAUAAGAACUCCGGAGUGACCUCAACCUAUUUGGUAGCCAACUAUUUAUCUGAUUGGAGUGCUAAUGCCAAUAUGUCUAUCAGUACAUUAAUGGAGAGUGUUAAGAGGGAUGGUUUGAGUGACAUCUCACAUUGGCAAGUGUAUAAAACAAAGGAGAAUGCACUUGAAAAAAAUUAGAGGGAGCAUGGUGGAGCAUUAUACAAUGCUGUAGGAUUAUUGUGAGGAGUUGAAGAGGACAAAUGUUGGGACCACAACUGUAGUUGAGGGACAUGCUGGAGAAUUCAGAUCACUCUACAUUGCCCUGGUGCAUUGAGGAACUGUUUCAUUAGGGGUUGCAAAAGGGUAAUUGGGAUAGAUGGUUGCUUUUUAAAAAAGAGCAUGGCGGGCAAUUAUUGACUGCAAUCGGUGUUGAUGCUAACAAUGGUAUGUACUUGGUGGCAUACGCAGUUGUUGAAGUUGAGAAUAGGAAAAAUUGGAGAUGGUUUUUGGAGUUAUCGAGGGAUAAUUUACAUAUACACAAUAGUCAUAGUCAGCACUGGACAUUCAUUUCCAAUAAGCAAAAGGGUUUGACUAAUGCACUUGAGUCAUUGUUUGAGAAUUCAGAGCAAAAAAUGAGCAUUAGACAUCUAUACAAGAAUUUUAGUUUGUGCCACAACGAAUUGACUUUGAAGAAUUGUUUGUGGGAUGCAGCUAGAGCUAUUACUGUAUCACAUUGGCUGCGGCACAUGCAACGGAUAUUGGACUUGGACCCGGCUGCUUAUGGCUGGCUUAAACCGAAACCAGCUGCUCAUUGGAGCAAAUCCCACUUUAGAGAGUGGAAUUAAUGUGACAUGCUUCUUAAUAAUUUAUGUGUCGUUUAAUAGCACAAUUAUGAAUGCAAGAGAGAAGCCCAUAUUAACCAUGCUAGAGGAGAUAAGGGUGUAUU